rnacentral:rRNA from 1 species
UGCCUCUGUACAAACUAAACUAAAGUGAAACCACGAAUGGCUCAUUAAAACAGUUACAAUCUAUUGGAUAUUUUAUAUCUACAUGGAUAACUGUGGUAAUUCUAGAGCUAAUACGUGCACUAAUUCCUGACCCUUGUGGAGAGGAGGCACAUUAUUAGCACCAAGAUCAAUGGGGUCUUUCGGAGACUCCUUGUGAAUGGUAAAUCUAGAUGAUAAAGCUAAUCGCAUGGCCUCUGUGCCGGCGAUUAGUCCGCAGAGUAACUGCCUUAUCAACUAGAUGGUAGGUUACACGCCUACCAUGGUUGUUACGGGUAACGGGGAAUCAGGGUUCGAUUCCGGAGAGGGAGCCUGAGAAACGGCUACCACAUCCAAGGAACGCAGCAGGCACGCAAAUUACCCACUCUUUGCUCGAGGAGGUCGUGACGACUAAUACUGAUACGGGACUCUUAGGAGGCCCCGUUAUCGGAAUGAGUUUGAUCUUAAUCCUCUAACAAGGAUCUAUUGGAGGGCAAGUCUGGUGCCAGCCGCCGCGGUAAUUCCAGCUCCAAUAGCGUAUAUUAAAGUUGUUGUGGUUAAAAAGCUCGUAGUUGGAUCUCGAGUCAUGCCAAGCGGACCACUCCGGUGGUUACUGCUUGGCUGAAUUACCUAUGGAUUAGUCUUUUGAUACUCUUAACCGAGUGUCUUAAGCGAUCCAUCUAUUUACUUUGAACAAAUUAGAGUGCUUCAAGCAGGCAUUCGCCCGGAUAAUCAUGCAUGGAAUAAUAGAAUAGGACUUCGGUUCUAUUCUGUUGGUCUUUGGAUCCGAAGUAAUGAUUAAUAGGGACAGACGGGGGCAUUAGUAUUACGGCGCUAGAGGUGAAAUUCUUGGACCGUCGUAAGACUAACAACAGAGAAAGCAUAUGCCAAGAAUGUUUUCAUUAAUCAAGAACAAAAGUUAGAGGUUCAGAAGGCGAUCAGAUACCGCCCUAGUUCUAACCAUAAACGAUGCUAACCAGCGAUCAGUCUGACUACUAUCAAGGACUCGACUCGAAGCUUCCUCGGGAAACCAAAGUUUUUGGGUUCCAGGGGAAGUAUGGUUGCAAAACUGAAACUUAAAGGAAUUGACGGAAGGGCACCACCAGGAGUGGAGCCUGCGGCUUAAUUUGACUCAACACGGGAAAACUCACCCGGUCCGGACACUUUAAGGAUUGACAGAUUGACAGCUCUUUCUUGAUACACUGGGUGGUAGUGCAUGGCCGUUCUUAGUUGGUGGAUCGAUUUGUCUGGUUAAUUCCGAUAACGAACGAGACUCCAACUUACUAACUAGUUAAACAUCUCCUUCGGGCGAUGUUAAACUUCUUAGAGGGACAGGAGGCGAUUCAGCCUCACGAGAAGGAGCAAUAACAGGUCUGUGAUGCCCUUAGAUGUCCGGGGCCGCACGCGCGCUACACUGAAGAGUGCAGCGUGCAUUAGUUUCCUGCUCCGAAAGGAGUGGGUAACCAUGGGAAACCUCUUCGUAAUUGGGAUUCGUUAUUGUAACUAUACCCAUGAACGAGGAAUUCUCAGUAAGCGUGAGUCAGUACCUAGCGUUGAUUAAGUCCCUGCCCUUUGUACACACCGCCCGUCGCUACUACCGAUUGAAUGAUUUAGUGAGGUCUUCAGAUUGGCUGAUGCAGUUCUCAUUCGAGAUCAGCAUUAUCUGAGAAGAUGACCAAACUUGAUC